AUGGAAUUAAGACAAAGGGUGCUUGUCUCGGGACUAGGCAUGCCACUCCCCGAGCGCUCAGACCAUCUGCUGCCUGGCCUGAUUCUUAAACCAAAAGCCACCCGUGGCUUCUGUGCCUGGCAGCUGAGGUGGCCUUCUAUGUCCAGUGUCGGCCAGCUGGAAUGGGUUCACACGCACAACAGAAAAUCGGCUCUGUGGGUCAAGAGAAACCUUACUGGGCUGAGAAGGACUAUGGUGACAUUUUGGAAAUAUUGUGGGUUUACUUCUUGGGACCCCUCCCUCCCCCAAAAUAAGGAAUGUAUCUGGAGAACAAGUGGGAUUAGAACAACAACAACAUGCUACAAUUCUGAGGCCGAGAGGUAACAAAUGUACUGAUAGGUAACCCACGCCUGCCUCGGCCUCUCACCUCAGCGCAGAGCGCUGGUGGAAAUGCUUCCUACCCUCCUUUCCUUUCUUACUUAUCAACGCUCCGGGAGCCAUAAAGCUUAUGCCGGUCUCUUCCUGCGCCAUAAAUCCAAAUAAGGUUAAUGUUGACCUGAUGUGCCACUAAGUCAUUUCAAAAGCAGAGGCAAGGUACAGAGGAAACAGUAAAAGUGACAAUGCAUUCAAUGCUAUGUAACAAUUAACAAGAAUGAAUUCCAUUGAAACAUACUGCCAUGAAGCGAUCUCCACAGGCAUGGCAAGUUGACAAAAAUAAUAAGGGCAACCUGCAGAAUAAAAUAUAGAGCAUGGUACCAUGUAUUUUUUAAAAGACACAAACCAAUAUCACACACACACACACACACACACACACACACACACACAUCUGCGCAAACACACAUAGCAAACAGUUAGUUCUACCCCAACUUGAUAACUGAUUUCCCUGGGGAGAAACCGAGGCCUGGGGUGAGGUGGGUAGCAUUGGCCGACUCUAUCUUUUUACAAGAUAAUUUAUUCAAAUAACGUCCACGUUAAAGAAAAAAAGAAGGAAAGGGCAGAAAAGAGACAAGUGUUGCUGUGGGAAAGAAAGGAUUAGCAGCACACGAUAAAGCACCAUCCGUGGUACAAAACGGGCCAGACGAAAAUCCACUGCCUCGUUCACGUCCGUAAGAGACCAGCGAAAAGCAGAGAGUUCUCGUGUUGGCAUUAUUAUUAUGAAUCGCGUGAGUUUUAAGAUGUAAUGUCUCCUAAUUCUACCAGAAACGCGGUGCUGAGAAGCACAUGAGACCUGGAGCCAGAGAGCCUGAGUUCAAGGCCUGACUCUGCAUUUCUCUGUAACCUCGGGCUAAUUUCUGAAGGCCUUAGUUUCCUUAUCUGCAGAGUGAGGAUAACAGCAACAUACUUCAUAGGAUGCUUUGAAGAUUGAGAUAACACACAGGAAAGAAUAGCAAAAUCACACAGACUGAGACUUAGAACUUAUAAAUUAUGUUUGUGUUGACUGUCUUCCCAUUCUUUCUCUCCCACCUUAGAGAAUUAUGUUUUCUCACACCCUUAAGUAUGCCCCACACUGAGGCACAGUUAAAUGAACAAGCCAUCAGUCUUCAAUACAAUAUUUGCUGAUCACAGGCCUCCAUUAUUUGAAGCUUUAGAUUAUGAACACACAUAGUUUUUAAGCUUCAGUAACCUGCGUUCACGUAUUUAUUUUAAGGAAUAUAUUCAUUCAAUUCGUGUAUACAACAUCCCCUUUUCCUGUGAAACCUACUUUUGAUGCAAGAACUAAAAUACCCAAAUCAGAGAGGCCAUUUAAAGUACAAGCCAAAAAUAUCAUUCACAUUUUUUUUGUCCCUUUCCAUGUGCUUAUUUGUGGUCCUACGAAAAUUUCAAGCUGUUCCGAGAUUUCCAGAAUCCAGUUACAAGCCUUAUAAUAAAAAGGGUUUCAAAAAUAAUCAAAGCAACACUAGUACCACCAAUAUAAUCAGACACAAAAGAGAAACAUGAGCAGAUGAAUAAACAUCAGUUGCGCGCACACAGCACCAUGCCGACCGCGCAGGAUGUAACUAACUCAACACAGCCUCACCUUUGAAACAGAGCCAGGGUCUUUACUUUGGCGGGAUGUGCCUGCGUUAAAAAGCGCAGGGACCUGAAGAUUUCUGGUGAAACAAAGAAGAAUCCAGUUGAAGUUGUUUUGCAGUUUGAGUUCGGAAAGGAUCCAUUUGAAGGAACCAAUUCCAAGCACACGAAGCACACAUCCCUCCCGGGCUCCUCCACCCCAUUCAACCGGGCUGUCAGUUUAGCGCUGGGCGCCCAUUGUUCACGUUGUUCUACUCUAAUUAGACUUGACAGAUUGCUCUUUCUGGCUAGACUGGCUGUUGCCAAGAACGGAGAGAAGAGGUGAGGCUGACCUUGUCACUCCGCCCUUGGGAUCAGUGCCCCACCCCCCACCCUAGUCCGCCAACACCGAAAUGUAUGGCCCUGCCGCUCAGAUCUGUUCCCCUUCUCCUCCAGCCCCCUGGCAGUCCCUGUGCCACGGACUUGUCUUUCCCUCCUGUGAGAUUCAAACCCUCAUUGUCUGUGGGAGAGGAGUAAGUGUGCUCUAAUAUUUUUCAUAUUAAUACUCUGACCCUUUUUUUUUUUUUUUCUUCAGGCCUGGUGGGGAAAAAACAGACCAGCUUUUCUGAAGGGAAAGAUACUGCAGUUCCGCCCAGGAGCUGGGAAAUAUUGAUUGCUUAAUGAAACAGAGCUCUGGAAGGAUUCAGGCCCUGACACUCCCAGCAUGUGUCUGAAGCAAAUCCGUGGCCCCGCUGCCCUCAGGGUCCAUAUCUGUAAAAUGCCACCAGUACUUCUCGAACCUUUGUCAUAUCAAAAAACAUGUUAUGCUGGUGUUAUAUAAAAAUUAGAUCAUAAAAUGGUAGAGCUGGAAAUGAUCUUAGAGAUCAUACAGUCCAAUAUCUUCACUCGGAAGAUUAAAAAAGCAGAGGCCAAAAGAGGGAGGGGACAUGCACAGGGUCAUGAAAUUAGUUCUUUAACUUUAAACAUCUGCCACUGAGCAACAGCUUGCUAAUUAGCUUUGUCACUAACCUGCCAUUUCCCAGUUUAUCCCGAGCUUGAGGAGAAAUCAUAUUGGCCAGGAAGGCAACUUUCUUUCUCUGAGGAAGGAAUUCUCCUCAUCCAAGGACAAUGUUUUCAGGAACGCUUCCCUUUACUGAGAAUCCAAUUGUCCUGUAAUAAAUGGAUCCUGACUCAUCCAAUGCCACAUGCCUCUUACUGGGGUGCAGGAUGGAACUCAACAGACUUCGGGUCUGGGGCCCCGCUCUCAAAUAGGAGGGACCGCCUCCUUGACCUAAGUCUGGCUACGCCCAUUGCCUUAAGAGCUGUGAGCAGGGCAGACUGUUAGAAAUUUCUCCUUGGAACAAAUCUCGUGUUUCCCAGGUUGUAAUGUAAACCCACUCAUUUACGGUUCACUCCCCUACGUACAAGUAUUUAUUAAAAGCCCAUUUUUUUGUUAAGCCCCUGAGAGCUGGCAAGACUAAUACAAUGAGUAGGAUCCAGCCUCAAGGAGCCUCAGAAGGAGGCAGCAGUGUAAACACUGAUGUGUGUGGCAGCAUUGUAUGAUGAGGGUGGAAGGAGGAGACGAUCGAUUUUCCUUGAUUGGGAUUUAAGGAAUUUAAAAACUUCACAGAGAAAAAAAGUAAAAAUAAAAAUAAAUUUUAAAAAAACGUCAUAGAGGAGAUGAUACUUGAGCUGAACUUUAGGAAAUGGAGGCGAUUUUCCAGGUGGAAGUGAGGAAAGUAGGUGGCAUUCACACAGAGAGUGAGCCCAUUGUUUGGGGGGGAAAAGGUUGUUGGCCUGUGUAGUAUGAGGAAGCAUCAUCCAAAGAUGAGAUUGGACAUUCAGGUAGAGAUCGGUGAAAGCACUAUAUCACAAAGGAAGCAGUUCAGAUUUUACUGUGGCAGUUCAGGGGACCCACUGAGAAGUUCCAAGCAGGGAAGUUACACAGUUCUGAUUGCAUUUUGAAAAGAUGGCGUUGAUGGCAGUGUGGAAGACAGUUUGGGGGAGGACUGGGAAGGAGCAAGACCCAAGGCAAAGAGACCUCAGGACACAACUCAACAAUUGAGGUGACAUAAGACGGCUGACUCAGUCUCUUCGAAAAGUCAGUCGGAAGAAUCAAGGGAGGGCACUGUUUUAGUUUUUGCUUCCAAAAGGCUUCAAGCAUUUUGGAUCCUGACUCAACUAGAUCAACUGUAAAGAGAAAAUGUGGAAGACACAUAGAGUCUUCGAUAAUAUUAAGGUAUUCUUGCACAUUUUGUUAGGUGUGAUGUUACCUUGGUAGCGUCAUAAAACAACAUACCAAAGUGUUUAAUGGGUGAG
rnacentral:lncRNA from 1 species